rnacentral:rRNA from 1 species
UGAGGAAUAUUGGUCAAUGGGCGCAAGCCUGAACCAGCCAAGUCGCGUGAGGGAAGACGGUCCUAUGGAUUGUAAACCUCUUUUGUCAGGGAGCAAGCGCGGGACGCGUCCCGUCGUUGAGAGUACCUGAAGAAAAAGCAUCGGCUAACUCCGUGCCAGCAGCCGCGGUAAUACGGAGGAUGCGAGCGUUAUCCGGAUUUAUUGGGUUUAAAGGGUGCGUAGGCGGACCGUUAAGUCAGUGGUAAAAUUGAGAGGCUCAACCUCUUCCGGCCAUUGAAACUGGCGUGCUCGAGUGCGUGCGAGGAAGGCGGAAUGCGUUGUGUAGCGGUGAAAUGCAUAGAUAUGACGCAGAACUCCGAUUGCGAAGGCAGCUUUCCAGCGCGCUACUGACGCUGAGGCACGAAAGCGUGGGGAUCGAACAGGAUUAGAUACCCUGGUAGU